UACGUAGGGUGCAAGCGUUGUCCGGAAUUAUUGGGCGUAAAGAGCUCGUAGGCGGUCUGUCGCGUCGGCUGUGAAAACCUAGGGCUUAACCCUGGGCUUGCAGUGGAUACGGGCAGACUAGAGGUAGGUAGGGGGAGAAUGGAAUUCCUGGUGUAGCGGUGAAAUGCGCAGAUAUCAGGAGGAACACCGGUGGCGAAGGCGGUCUCUGGGCCUUACCUGACACUGAGGAGCGAAAGCGUGGGGAGCGAACAGG
rnacentral:rRNA from 1 species